rnacentral:rRNA from 1 species
AUUGAACGCUGGCGGCAGGCCUAACACAUGCAAGUCGAGCGGAUGAAGGGAGCUUGCUCCUGGAUUCAGCGGCGGACGGGUGAGUAAUGCCUAGGAAUCUGCCUGGUCGUGGGGGAUAACGUCCGGAAACGGGCGCUAAUACCGCAUACGUCCUGAUGGAGAAAGUGGGGGAUCUUCGGACCUCACGCUAUCUGAUGAGCCUAGGUCGGAUUAGCUAGUUGGUGGGGUAAAGGCCUACCAAGGCGACGAUCCGUAACUGGUCUGAGAGGAUGAUCAGUCACACUGGAACUGAGACACGGUCCAGACUCCUACGGGAGGCAGCAGUGGGGAAUAUUGGACAAUGGGCGAAAGCCUGAUCCAGCCAUGCCGCGUGUGUGAAGAAGGUCUUCGGAUUGUAAAGCACUUUAAGUUGGGAGGAAGGGAAGUAAGUUAAUACCUUGCUGUUUUGACGUUACCAACAGAAUAAGCACCGGCUAACUUCGUG